UUCAUUUCUUAGGAUGGCUAUGAAUUUGUGGGGCAUUUUAUAUAGUUUUAAUCUGUGUUUAGGGACUAUAAACUUUCAUUAAGGGGUUGUGAAUGGUUUAAUAUGAUAAGGCUUGAAUUUUGGGCUUGAAUCUGUCUUUUUCUUUCAUUAGCCUUUGUAUCUCCACUUUCUUAUUGUAUCUUUUGUCCUCUGUUCUCUGUGUAGCUAGUUGCAUAUAUAACUGUGUUGUUGAAUUAAUUAUUUUUAAUAAAUCAGAUAUAUUUUUAUUUGAAGCUAUGAUAUAUGAAUGAACUUUAUUAGGUUACCAUAAUAAUUAUGAUCAUGCAAUAAUUUUUGUUUUAGUGUGUUUUUGUCCUCUGUUUUUGCUAAUCUACUUAGUUUUGUUACCUUGCACUCUUUUAUGUGUGCAUUACAAGUUGAGCACUAUGUGUUUAUGUUUUUGUGUUUGCAUGUGUGCAUUAAUAUUUUACUGUGGUACCAACUAAGUGAAAAUUUUGCAUGUUUCACAAUAACUCAACAUGUUUCACAUUGCAUGUCUCUCUAGUAUAUUAUCUUUUCUUUUUUUUAUUAUAAUUUUUUUUUGUAUAUCAAGCUUGUCUUUGAUAUUAGUUCCAUGGCGCUUCAUGUAUUUGAAGGAAUAGACAUUGCUGCAGUGACUCCCACCUAUGUCCAUGCACGUUGUUAGUCUGCUCCUUGAAGUUGUUCUUCUCAAAGCAAAAUCAUUGCAAGGCCUUGGACGAUAUGAAGGUAUUUCCUUUACCUAACUAUUGAAUCAAAAGAUUGUACUGAGUAUUAUGUGUCUUGGAAAUGAGCUAUAUAUAGAUACUGCAAGUCAUGUUUUUGUUGUCUUUGCUUCAACUGCUAAUCAGGUAUGUACUUUGGCACUCUUUGUAACAUACCACUUUGUUUUAUUUAUUCUUUUACUUGGUUUUUUAUUUUUGUUCUAUUAUUUCAUUUAGUUACUUAUUAGUUUUAUCCAAAAAAAAUUAGUUGGCUUUAAAAUUAUACUGUUAGUAUUGAUAUAUUAUUUUGAUUGCUAGUUCUUGGAAGAAUGACUUUAGAUUCUAUUUUUAAUUGAUUAAAUAUUAUUUCAUUAGUUUUACCCUGCUGUGGUCUCGUUGCUUUGCUCUUUUUAAUAUAUAGAUUUUCAUGAGUAGUUUAGUUCAUUGUUAAACUGGUUAGCCCAUAAAUGUUGUGUCUUUUGCCUUAAUCUUGAGAGGUAAUGUACAAUAUAAUAUUUUGAGUUAGGUGGCUCUUCUAUUUUGACAAAAUCUUGAGAUUGGUUAAGAAAACGUAGAACUCAUGAUGUUAAUGCCUCUAAAAAAAAGCUAGGAAUGUCCUGAGAUCAUGAAACUUAAAAUUUUGUUGGCUCUUAUCUGGGUCCUAGAUUUCUUGUCUCUAUUGCAUAUAGUCUAGUAAAGCAUGCCACCCUGUAUGCACCAGUUUUUUCUGGCUACAUACUUGAUAUUUCUUUUUGUAUGUAAUGAAUUAGAUGCUAAUUUUUUUAGCAACAAUUAUCUGGUGGGUUAUAGUAGCAAUAUCAAUUUUUAACUUCAGAAUGUUUGAUUAAAAAAGGUAUUUUAAACAUUGUUGGAACUGCAAAAAGAAAUUCUGAAAUUGAUCCGGAAUAAUUCAUUAAGAUAUUUCUGUUGGCAGCCUACACAAGCCUGGUAAUGUCCUCAUAGCUCAUGGGAGAGCUUACAUUAGUACAUUUUCUUGAUAUGGUACCUGUCAUGUAGAUACAGAAAGUGAAUGCACUAUAUAAGAUCCCUGAACAAGUUUUUUUGGUGAUCAACCUACCAUUGAUGUACUGACGAAGAAGCAAAAUGCAUUGCUUGGAGUGGCUACAAAUGAUGAUGGAAAGCAAGUGGAGGAAGAUGCUAGAUAUCCACCAUAGGUGCAAUGUUGCCUGAAAUCUCAUUAUCUGGAUAAAUAUGAUAUUUGGGGAAGUCGACAGUAUCGAAUAUUUGGCACUAGAUUGGUGGUUAUUAGGAUAGAUACUCAUUGUCUUGUAUGUUGGUUGGAAAUUGCAUAGCAAGUUAGU